rnacentral:tRNA from 1 species
GGGGGUGUAGCUCAUCUGGGAGAGCGCCUCGUUCGCAACGAGGAGGUAGCGAGUUCGAGCCUCGUCAUCUCCACCA